rnacentral:rRNA from 1 species
UGGGGGAAUAUUGGACAAUGGGCGAAAGCCUGAUCCAGCCAUGCCGCGUGUGUGAAGAAGGUCUUCGGAUUGUAAAGCACUUUAAGUUGGGAGGAAGAGCAGUUACCUAAUACGUGAUUGUUUUGACGUUACCGACAGAAUAAGCACCGGCUAACUCUGUGCCAGCAGCCGCGGUAAUACAGAGGGUGCAAGCGUUAAAUCGGAAUUACUGGGCGUAAAGCGCGCGUAGGUGGUUAGUUAAGUUGGAUGUGAAAAUCCCCGGGCUCAACCU